rnacentral:rRNA from 1 species
GGUCAAGCUACAAAGGGCGCAUGGUGAAUGCCUUGGCAUCAGGAGCCGAUGAAGGACGUGAUAAGCUGCGAUAAGCUUCGGGUAGGCGCACAUAGCCUGAGAUCCGAAGAUCUCCGAAUGAGGAAACUCACAUGGGAAACCCCAUGUAUCAUUAAGUGAAUACAUAGCUUAAUGAAGGUAACCCAGGGAACUGAAACAUCUAAGUACCUGGAGGAAGAGAAAGAAAAAUCGAUUUUCUUAGUAGCGGCGAGCGAAAGGGAAAGAGCCCAAACCGGAAACUUGUUUCCGGGGUUGUGGACAUAGCAUCAAAGUGGAGGCUAUUGUAACUGAAGAGAACUGGAAAGUUCCACCGUAGAAGGUAAUAGUCCUGUAAGUGAAACGAGAAGACCACGAGUUAUGAUCCAGAGUACCACGAGACACGUGAAACCUUGUGGGAAGCAGGGAGGACCACCUCCCAAGGCUAAAUACUACCUGAUGACCGAUAGUGAAGCAGUACCGUGAGGGAAAGGUGAAAAGAACCCCGGGAGGGGAGUGAAAUAGAACCUGAAACCGUGUGCCUACAACCGCUCAGAGCCCCUUAUGAGGGUGAUGAGGUGCUUUUUGUAGAACGAGCCAACGAGUUACGGUAUGUAGCAAGGUUAAGUACUUAAGGUACGGAGCCGAAGGGAAACCGAGUCUGAAUAGGGCGACUAGUUGCAUGCCGUAGACCCGAAACCGGGUGACCUAUCCAUGGCCAGGUUGAAGCGAGGGUAAAACCUCGUGGAGGACCGAACCACGUUGCUGUUGAAAAAGCAUGGGAUGAGCUGUGGAUAGCGGAGAAAUUCCAAUCGAACCCGGAGAUAGCUGGUUCUCUCCGAAAUAGCUUUAGGGCUAGCGUCGAGUAUGAGUAGUGGAGGUAGAGCACUGAAUGGGCUAGGGGGCAUAGCGCUUACCGAACCUUAUCAAACUCCGAAUGCCACAUACUUUGAGCUCGGCAGUCAGACUACGAAUGAUAAGAUCCGUGGUCAAAAGGGAAACAGCCCAGAUCGUCAGCUAAGGUCCCAAAGUGUAAGUUAAGUGGGAAAGGAUGUGAGAUUUCUAAGACAACUAGGAUGUUGGCUUAGAAGCAGCCAUUCAUUAAAAGAGUGCGUAAUAGCUCACUAGUCGAGAGAUCUUGCGCCGAAAAUGUAACGGGGCUAAACUUACCACCGAAGCUACGGGCUUGAACUUA